rnacentral:lncRNA from 1 species
GAGGGAAGAGCUGGGAGGUGGGAAGUGGGGGAGGGGCCCCAGACCAGGCUCAGAGCAUAUCCUUGCUCCUGGCCUCCACCGCAGAAGGUGGCUCACCCCUCUGCAUGGAACAGUCUCUCUCCAUUCCCUCUACCCUGGCCUUCCUCCUCCUUGCAGGCCCCAGAAGCUGGAGGGGGCUGGUCGGGGUUGGGCUCACAGACACAGUGGUGGAGCUCACAGAAGUGCCCCCACCCACCAGGAGCCCAGGGUGGGCCUCAGCCAGCCGGGGGAACCUGGUUUCCCCACCCUGGAGGCCAGCGCCAAAGGACGUUCACGUGCAGCUCAACCACACAAUAUAAGAGCUACUGUCUCCAAUUAACACUUGGGGACACUGAGGCAAAGAGCCUGGCUGAAUAUUGUGCCCGUGAAGACAGAGGGACAGCCUAUUUUGUUUGCUGCUGUAUCCUUAGCACCCAGCACAGGGAAGGGGUCCUGGUACAUUUCUAGAAAAAAUGGAGGGGAGCAGAGUCCCCCUGAGCACCUGGGGUUUGAUGCCUCCCUGCCCAGAGCCCUUGCUAUAGCAUAUGCUGGUGAGGGCCGAGGCUCUAGCUCACACUCCAGACCGGGGUAGGGAUCCAAUCUGGCUUUGAAGACAUCAUGCAGAGCCUCUGCUCUGGAGAUGGGAACCUGCAGACAAAUGCCUCCUUAUCUCAAUCCUCUGAAAACAGUUUGACCAGGGAGACAGCGUUCACUCAUGAAUUUAAGAAAAAAAAAAUCCCUGAUCCCUACUUUUUGCCAACUUCAAUGCUGAUUUCUAGUGGUACCAAGAAAAAUGCAACUGAGCCUCCAUCCUCAAGGGGCUCACAGUCUUGUGUGGAGAUAAAAAAUGCAGGCCUGCUGCAGAUCCAAGUCCUGUGACCGGGGUCCUGCCCAAGGGUCCUGCUUCCCUAGGCAUCCCAGAAGUUCAGCCUGCAUCUCGACCAGAGCCUGAGAGUAGACACCUGCCGGUUUAUCUGUCCCUUCAUGUAGCAGGUGACAGAGGUGCCAGGGGCAUGGCAGGGGUACUCUGACACAGCACUGCCCCACGGAGCCCAUGUCCCAGGGCAGAAGACCCACGAUGCACAGCCAGCCAGGUGGCCUCAUCCGAUCAGUCAAAGGCCUCAAUAGAACCAAGACUGACCUCUGCCAAAGAGAGAAUUCUUUCAGCAGACGGCCUUCGGACUUGAGCUAUGACGGCAACUCUUCCCCGGGCCCACCUGACGGACUGGGUUUCUCAGCCUCCACAGUCGUGUGAGCCAAUUCCGUAAGAUAAAUCUCUCUCUCUUCUCUCUCAAUCUCUCUCUCAAUCUCUCUCUCUCUCCAGGAAAGAACUCCAGGGUAGCUGGGAGCUUGGUAUGUUCCAGGACAGCAGGGAGGCCAGAGCCGCUGUCAGUGUGAGAGGGUCGGAGUACAGUGGGGCCCUCCCUGCAUGUGGGGCCUCAUAAGGUGGCAUAGAUGCACGCUUGUUCUGUGUGGACAGGGUUUGGGUGGGGGUGAUGCUUCCUCUGUUCCCUGGGUAGAGACUUGAUGUCUGGUGGCCUGGGGAAGGCAAGGAGGCCAUGUGGAGGCUGCUGCUGUGGUCCGGGUGAGAGGUGACGCCACUGUAGGGCAGCUGGUGGCAUGCAUAAUUCAAAAUAGGCAUAUUGACCAGAUGCAGUGGCUCAUGCCUGUGAUCCCAGCACUUUGGGAGGCCAAGGCAGGAGGAUUG